CGGCAAUUCAAGGAAGCGAAACGGUCCUUUCAAAGUAGUGGAAGAAAUUUCCAGAUCUCUAUAAAACUAGAAGGAAAUUUAUAAAUCCAAGCUUUAAGAUCCAAAAUUGAAUUAAAGGUUUUAGGAAUUUCGUUCUUGGAUUGAUUUCUUUUGCUCUAGGUUUCAAAACCCGGAAAGGUUUUUACUGUAAUUUCUUUUUUAGGGUUUCUGGCAGGGAGAAUGAACGAUCAAUCGCAGAUGAUGAAUCCAGCGCAGAUGAUGAGCCAGGCGCAGAUGAUGAGUCAACCUCAGGUAAUGAAUCCGGUUCAGCCUCAGAUUUUGAGUCAGAAUCCGGCGGUUUUGGUUCAAUCGCAGGCCAUGAGCCAACCUCCUCCCCAGGUGUUGACCCCGGUUCAGUCUCAGUCUCAGAUGAUGAGUCAUGUUGGAGCAAUGAACCAGCAGCAACCUCCGAUGAUGAUGAGGAUGAAUCAGAGAAGCUACAAGCCAUGGCCACCUCAGCAACAGUCUUCAAUGGAAGCGAACAAGUUCCAGAAUCAACAAAACCCUUCGAAGUUCAAUAGUAACAUUAAUAAUAACUUUGUCCCUUCAAAGCCCAGAAGCAGCACGAAUUGGAAGGGCAAAAACAUCAACAACAAAGACCAGAGAAGAAUGGACAAGCCCAUGUCUAAUAAACCCAUCAUCUCCAACGCUGCCUUGGCUGCCGCGGGACCUAGUGGUAGCGGUGGUUAUAAGCCCCCUAGCCUAAAUGAACUCCAAACCCAAAACCGGAUGAAAGCUCGAAAAUACUAUCACCCAAAGAAAAAGUUCAACAACCGAUUUGCCCCAUAUGCACCUCGAAACACAACGUCUUUUAUUAUCCGUGCAAAAAAAGCUGGAGGAAUCGCAUCCUUAGUGUCCCCUUGUCCGGUGACCCCUGCUGUUUUGCCCACUCCGAUAUUCUCGCCGUCGAGAGAGGUAUUAGGUGACAUGGCAAAGGAAGAGUGGGGUGUUGAUGGAUAUGGUUCUAUGAAGGGUCUGAUUAGACUGAGAUCACCUGGAAAUGAAGCGGAGGUUCAUGAUGAGGAGGAUGAAGAUGAGGGCAAUGGGUCGAGUGAGAGUGAUGUGGAAGAACAUGUGGAGGUGGAAAGGAGAUUGGACCAUGAUUUGAGUAGGUUUGAGAUGAUUUACCCGACUUAUGGAGGUGGGGACUAUAGUUACAAUAACAUCUUGGAGAAUAGGGUGGAUGAUCAAGAUACCCAUAUAGCACAAUUGGAAGAAGAGAACUUGACAUUGAAAGAGAGGUUGUUUCUGAUGGAGAGAGAGUUGGGGGAUUUGAGGAGGAGGUUGCAGUUCUUAGAGAGGCAGCAAGGUCAGGGAAUCAGUGUUAUGCCUGUCCCUGUGGAAGAUAUUAAUGAGGAGGUUGUUGAAAAUGUUUAUGAGAAUGAUGAAAAUGAGAAUGAGAGUGAUGGAGGAUCGGAUGUUGGUGGAACUGGAAAUGAUAAUAAUGACGAGAUGGAGUAUGUGGGUGGAAAUGGGGAAAGGAGGACUAUUCCAAAUGAUGUCAAGGGGAGCCAUGAUGUUUGUAUGGAAGAGACUGUGUCGUAUAAUGACGAAAUUGGGAAGGAUGCGGUGAAGAAUAAAAUUUCGAGAAGUGAGCUUGUGGUUAGAAAUGAAGUGAUUGAGAAGGAUGAUGAGGCAAAAGGUGAGGAAGUGGGGAGUGAUGUUGUAAUGGAAAAAUUGAUUGCGAAGGAGGAGGAGUUGUCUAAGGGUGAUGGUUUUGUUAAUGAGAUUGUGCAGGACGUGCUGGCUGAAGAAUCCAACUUAGGGAAGAGCAUUGGCAGCGGUGACUAAUCUAGUUGUCCCGUGUUAAUUUGUGAGCAUGAAGAGCCUCUCCAGAAUAGAGGUUAGUGGUUUUAAUCAGUCUGAUUGUAUGAAUGAUUUUAGUGUUAAAGUGCAGAUCUAUUAUGUCCUUUUUCUAGAUAUGAACUGAGGUAGGAAACCAACAAUUGGAGUCUAAUGAACAUUGUCAUUUGUGAACAAGGACAAGAGGUAUUUGGCUGCCUAAACUGUUUUAACAUUUACCAUUGCAAUAAAUAUGUCUCUAAUAGAUGUCAAUUAUUUACUUUACAACUUUUGUUUGGGACAUCUAUCAGUUUAUUAUGGCAUGCAAUGUACUCUGAAGAAGUCUGAAUUAUAUUGGAGGGUGGAGCUACUCAAUAGCAAAUAGGAAAAUGAUUAGCCAGAAGGGGAUUGGUACACAUUUUUGUGAAGCUCUCAGUAAAAGUGACUCCCAAGCAUAAUUGUUCAUCAAAAUUGCACUUCAUUAUCAUUAAUGGUAAUGUAGUAUUGUCGAUUCCUCUUUUAUUUUUUCAGUUUCUUUAAGAACUCAUAAGUUUUGUGGCUUCACAUAUGAUGCUAAUAGUUAAUUAUCAUCUCUAACAAAUGGAAGGAAUUUGGCUUAUAAAACAUGUGUUAUUGGACUUGAUAUUUGUACUAUUGAAAUCUGACGAGUGCUUGUGAUGUUUGAUGUAUCAAAAAAGUCUGUAACUAUCAGUAGUUUUGUGUUUGGGCACUGCAUUAUUUUGAGUCCUUUUGUCAAUUUACUAUCAGUAGUUUUGUGUCUGUAACUAUCAAAAAAGUCUGCUUGGACUUAGCAGACAUCAGUCCCUUUGAGUCCUUUUCUCAACUGGUUGCAACAUGGAUAGAGAUGGGUGGUUGGUCUAGCAUAGGAAAAACACAACUUCUUUCCCCAAAUAAUGUUUUUAGCAUCCUAAUUUUUUCUUCAUGCAGUUGGAAAUUUUCUUGCUCAUCAGAAAAAGUACUUCGAAAAGGAAGGCAAGAGGAAGAGAUGAUGUUUGCUAGUCACCUGAACUUACCACAAUAUAUUUUUGCUUAAUCAGGACUUGUGGAGAUAAAUGAGAUUAAAGCCUUUAGAAAGAAGUUUUGAAACUAGUUAGGAUUUUUUUUCUUAUUAGAAAUAUUUCAUAUGUGUUCUUAGACAAUCGGUUCUCUUGCUUCCAUUCGAAUUGUUUUUUGCCUGGAGCUAUGUAGAUAAGAUUCCAAAUUUUUUCCUGAUAUUUCUCCUUGUUCAAACUAUGCCACUUUGACACAUUUAUAACCAUUUUGUUUGCAAUUCUCCCUCUCCUUCGAUUAGUCUUUUUAGCACCCAUAAUUUUCCCAAGAACUGAUUCUUCAUCUUCAUCACCUUCUAAGAAAUUAUGUUUUCUUCCGUGCUUUUUAUUUUAUUUUCACAUAGUAAUGCUAGUUACAUUUUGUGUAAUGCAAUGCAUUUUGGCUUUUGGUCCUAGACUUGGUUACUUGGGACAGAUCAAGCACCUACUCACACUAGAUACCUGUACUACCAAGGAACAGAGGAUUGUUAAAAUAGUGUAGGAAUGGCUAGUAUGGGGCUAUGCCAUCAAUGUUACUGCUAUAUGAAUUUUGAUGGUUUCAGUUGAUGAUGAUAAGGUGCAACCUGUAGCUAAACUAGUGUCUAAUCUGGAGAGCUAUAGUGUUCUUCUGGCACAUAAAUAGGGGUAUUUGCAUGGAUAUAUUGUUCACAUUCAGGUUUUAUAGAUGGGUAUAUCCAUUUAUAAAUCAUCUGGUUUAUGAAAUUGGCAGUGAAUCCGCAAACAAUCGUUGCUUGAUGAAGACUCCUCUGACUUUUACAGGCAACCUCUCUCUUAAUGGUGUACGGAGUGUACAUAUUUUCCAAGUAGGCGAACAUUCUGAUCCAAGUCAAGUGUGUUCAAUCUUGGUUCUGAGCUUGAACUGACAUGAAUGGAAUUUCUUCUCUCACCUUGUUUCCCUUUUAUGAGUGCUUGAGUUUUACUCAACUUGGUGGAAUCUUGAAGGGGCAAGGAGAACACGUGAAAUCUCAGCCAUCACAUGUGUAAGUCGCAUUGCAAAUCUCAGCUGACUCGGCAGUGCCAUCCAUUUGUCAGUCGCAUUGCUUUGCAAUCUUCAUUUUGUCUUGUGAACUUUGUUCAUGUGUCCUGCACAUGUUAUGGGCAAGCUAUCAUGAUUUCAAAUGGGUUUUGUAAUGAAUGGAGGUGGGAUGGUUGACUGUGAUGAGAUGAGCUGAUUGCGAUAGGUAGGGCAGUUAAUAUGUUACAAUUAGGGGUUUUAGUAUAAAAUAUAAAUAGGAGAGAAGCACUUGCAAUGGGUCCGUAUUCCAAAUUUAAUAAACAAUGCAAAUUCUCUCUUCUUCAUACGUUGGCAGCUGCAAUUUAUAGACUUUUAAUGUACUUGCACAUAUAUAUAUUAUAAUUCUUGUGUUAUAUA